CACAUAUGUAUAGUGAAUUCGUACUUUGUCACUUCAAACGAACUUUUGCAGGCAUGAUAGGGGAGAAUUUUAGUAGUAAUUAGCUGGCAGACUUUGGCUGAUGAGAAAUAAGACCCCUAUUUGGCACUAAUUUCGAAACCAGUACCAAGUUGACCACCAUUUACUUGUUCUGACCCA